rnacentral:lncRNA from 1 species
GGUGAGAGCAUGAGUGAUAAGAUGCUCUCUCCCCUUGCUCUCUUUCUGAAGAUGACAAACUCCAUCUUUUUUCUAAAGUCUUACUAAAGUUUAACAAGAAAUAAAAAAAGUACAAAUGUUUCUCAUUCAAGAUAAUCCACAUUUUGAAGAUCUCAUUUUACACAAAAAAGGGAUCUGAACCAAUGAUGCUGGGUUCACCCACAUCUCCAAAGCCAGGAGUUAAUGCCCAGUUCUUACCUGGAUUUUUAAUGGGGGAUUUGCCAGCUCCGGUGACUCCACAACCUCGAUCAAUUAGUGGCCCUUCAGUAGGAGUAAUGGAAAUGAGAUCACCUUUACUUGCAG